GACGAACGCUGGCGGCGUGCUUAACACAUGCAAGUCGAACGGACAGGCCCUGAUUUUGUGUGGUGCUCGAGUGGCGAACGGGUGAGUAACACGUGAGUAACAUGUCCUUAAAUUUGGGAUAAAUUCAGGAAACUGGGGCUCUUACCGGAUAGGAUCUUCUGCUGCACGGUGGGGGUUGGAAAGAUUCGGCGGUUGGGGCUGGAAUGGAGGCUUCUGCGCUGGUUGGUGGGGUAGUGUCUGACAAGGGGUUUGAGGGGAAGCCGGCCUGGGAGGGGGACCGGCCACAUCGGGACUGAGAUACGGCGCAGACUGGAAUCGGAGGCAGUGGUGGAGAAUAUUACACAAUAGGAGGAAGCCUGAUGUAGAAGCGCCGCGUUCGGGAUGACGUCCUUCGGGUUGUAAACCGCUUUCGCCGGAGACGAGGAGAGAGUGACGGUACUGGGUAAAGAAGCACCGGCUAACUACGUG
rnacentral:rRNA from 1 species